AUGCCAUGGUGAGGACAUUUUUGCAACAGCUUCUUGAGUCACUCCCAUGCAUCAUAGAGAGGUUCUUCUUCAAGUUGUUAUAAUGUAGAGAUUUCAUUUCUAAGCUU
rfam:Gossypium raimondii chromosome 4, whole genome shotgun sequence.